AUGAUUUUUAUUGCUUCGGCGAUAACGAUUUUUAUCAAUAAUUGAGAUACAAUAUUUUUUUUCGAGAAAUAGGUAGCUAGCUACCUGCUUCAUUCAUUAGGUAAAAUGAACUAAGCGUACAAUUUGGAAGCAGCCAGGGCCUCCCAAAAAAACAGGCAAGGAGCGAAAAACAAAACAAAACAAAAGAGAGAAAGGAGGGGUGUUAAUAAGGAGAGUAGGGAUAGGAGCUGAAGCCCAGUUGGCACAUCACCGAAAAGAGUUCCAGUCGUUUAGCAAAAGUUUGACACGUUCCAGAGACCGGGUAGCGUUGUGCGUGCUUCCUCGAAAGAUGACGUUGUUUCUAUCUGUCCAGAUCACCCACCAAGUCGCGGCCAAGAGGGACAGGCCUUGUGUCCUCGAAGAGUGAACCGGGAAUUGAGAUACAAUAUUAU
rnacentral:lncRNA from 1 species